rnacentral:rRNA from 1 species
UUGCUUUCGAUAGGCGUCGACCGGCGCACGGGUGAGUAACGCGUAUCCAACCUGCCCAUAACUAAGGGAUAAUCCGUAGAAAUGCGGUCUAAUACCUUAUGUGAUCCGAGGAAGACAUCUGAUUUGGAUUAAAGACUUAUCGGUUAUGGAUGGGGAUGCGUCUGAUUAGAUUGUUGGCGGGGCAACGGCCCACCAAGUCUGCGAUCAGUAGGGGUUCUGAGAGGAAGGUCCCCCACAUUGGAACUGAGACACGGUCCAAACUCCUACGGGAGGCAGCAGUGAGGAAUAUUGGUCAAUGGGCGGGAGCCUGAACCAGCCAAGUAGCGUGCAGGAUGACGGCCCUAUGGGUUGUAAACUGCUUUUGUAUGGGGAUAAAUUGCUCCACGUGUGGAGUAUUGCAGGUACCAUACGAAUAAGGACCGGCUAAUUCCGUGCCAGCAGCCGCGGUAAUACGGAAGGUCCGGGCGUUAUCCGGAUUUAUUGGGUUUAAAGGGAGCGUAGGCCGUGGAUUAAGUGUGUUGUGAAAUGUAGGCGCUCAACGUCUGACUUGCAGCGCAUACUGGUCCACUUGAGUGCGCGCAACGCGGGCGGAAUUUGUCGUGUAGCGGUGAAAUGCUUAGAUAUGACGAAGAACCCCGAUUGCGAAGGCAGCUCGCGGGAGCGCAACUGACGCUGAAGCUCGAAAGUGCGGGUAUCGAACAGGAUUAGAUACCCUGGUAGUCCGCACGGUAAACGAUGGAUGCCCGCUUUUCGGUCAUUAGACCGUGAGGCCAAGUGAAAACAUUAAGCAUCCCACCUGG